GCUGCGGUGACCCAAUGGUUAGCGCAUUGGACUCAGGAUCAAGUGGUCCGGGUUCAAGCGCUGGCCGGGGUCA